UUUCCGUAGGUGAACCUGCGGAAGGAUCAUUAUUGAAUUAUGUUUUCUAGAUGGGUUGUAGCUGGCUCCUAGGAGCAUGUGCACGCCUAUCUGGACUUCAUUUUCAUCCACCUGUGCACCUUUUGUAGUCUUUGUUGGGUAUGGAGGAAGUGGUCAGCCUUAUCAGCUCUCGCUGGAUAUGAGGACUUGCAGUGUGAAAGCAGUGCUGUCCGCUACUUGGCCAUGGAAUCUGUUUCCCGUCGGAGUCUAUGUUAUUCACUAUACCCUAUAAACUGUUAUUGAAUGUUUUUACAUGGGCUUCUAUGCCUAUGAAAAUUGUAAUACAACUUUCAGCAACGGAUCUCUUGGCUCUC
rnacentral:misc_RNA from 1 species